UAAAAAUCUAUAGCUUUAGAUUCUUAACGCCCAACUCUCCAUUUUAAUUUCUGAAAAAUGUCUUCUUAACUUUCAAUCUAAAUUCUUUAUUUUAAGCCUAAAGAUAAAAUAUUAUCGGAUGUUAAUUCAUCCUUUUCAAAAAAGGCACAUGAGGGUUAAAACAUAUGCUUCCUUCUUCGCUCAGGAAAAAAAAAUCUUCCAACCUUUUUGGGGGGAUCACAUAUAGCUCUAAAACAGCUGAAGCUAAAAACAUCAAAGUUGGCAUGACUUCAGUUAUCACUGAAUCAGGAAGAUCAAGCCAAGUUUUUGAAGAAAAUGGUUGAGCAUUUUAAAAAUAAAAGAAGUCAAAAUGCUCUCUCUGAGCAUGCUCAGUGGGAGAUCUUAAAAUAUUUUCUUUAGGUCAGCUUCAUUUUGCUCAUUUCUUUGGAAAUAUUUCAACAAAACUCUCUAAUUAGUCCUUAUUAACAUUCACUAAUGCCCUAGCCAAGGCCCAAGUGUCUGUCACCUGCCAAGGUGAUGUUUUCACUGUGUUUGCCAAGGGACCACUACUGGUCAAUGCCGGAAUCUCCUCAACAUCACUGCUACUUUGCCACACCCCAGUGGAUAUAUUCAUGUGACAUGACUGGAGGAGCACAGUGGCUCCUAGCCUUCCUCUCCUUGGGAAACAGUUGAGCUCGGCAAUGGCAACAGGAAAAGGUGCCAUCUGGUGAGAUCAGAGUCCAAAAAAGAAAAAGUAAAAGGCAAAUAAGCAAGCAAAAAAGGAAGAGACAAUUUGAACACAUAGACACCAGGGACAUCCAAACAGAAGAAUGACCUCGUGCAGACAAAGCAACAAGAUGGACAUCUACAAGCCAAACAGAGAAGCAAGCCUCUGGAACCAACUCUGUCCACACCUUGAUCUUGAAUUUCCAGCCUCCAGAACUGUGAGAAAAUAAAUUUCUGUUGUUGAAGCCACA